rnacentral:rRNA from 1 species
GAGGAAUCUUGCGCAAUGGGGGAAACCCUGACGCAGCAACGCCGCGUGAGUGAGGAAGGUCUUCGGAUCGUAAAGCUCUGUCGGGUGGAAAGAAAUGUAUGGGGUUAAUAGCCUUCAUACUUGACGGUACCACCAAAGGAAGCACCGGCUAACUCCGUGCCAGCAGCCGCGGUAAUACGGGGGGUGCAAGCGUUGUUCGGAAUUAUUGGGCGUAAAGAGCGUGUAGGCGGCUUGGCAAGUCAGAUGUGAAAGCCCUGGGCUUAACCCAGGAAGUGCAUUUGAAACUGCCUAGCUUGAGUAGGGGAGAGGGAAGUGGAAUUCCUGGUGUAGAGGUGAAAUUCGUAGAUAUCAGGAGGAACACCGGUGGCGAAGGCGACUUCCUGGCCCUAUACUGACGCUGAGACGCGAGAGCGUGGGUAGCAAAC